rnacentral:rRNA from 1 species
GACGAACGCUGGCGGCGUGCUUAACACAUGCAAGUCGAACGGAAAGGCCUGCUUUCCCUUGUGGAUUGCGGGUACUCGAGUGGCGAACGGGUGAGUAACACGUGAGUGAUCUGCCCCCAACUUGGGUAUAAGCCUGGGAAACUGGGUCUAAUUCCCGAUAGGACUGCAGGGUGGUGCCUGUGGUGGAAAACGAUUUUCUAGUGGUUGGGGAUGGGCUCGCGGCCUAUCAGCUUGUUGGUGGGGUAAUGGCCUACCAAGGCGGCGACGGGUAGCCGGCCUGAGAGGGUGGACGGCCACAUUGGGACUGAGAUACGGCCCAGACUACUACGGGAGGCAGCAGUGGGGAAUAUUGCACAAUGGGCGGAAGCCUGAUGCAGCGACGCCGCGUGGGGGAUGACGGCCUUCGGGUUGUAAACUCCUUUCGACCGCGAGGAAGCCACCUGGUUGGAAGGGUGGUGACGGUAGUGGUAGAAGAAGCACCGGCUAACUACGUG